UGGUGGGUCGAGGGGUGAGGGACGGCCUUUUGGAAUCAAGGGUGAUGGUCCCAUCAAGGGAUGAUAAAGUGGACCUGGGGACAGCGGCCUCUCACGAAUUCUCUGAGCCCAUUGCUAAUGUUUGUCAAGGGAUCUUUACCAAAGUGCAAGUUCUGCUUUGGCCUGGGCCUGGAGAGAGCUCUGUGAGAUUGGCCAGUUGGGGGAAGCACGUGGACUUGGAGGGAGGAAGGGCCUUCCCCUGUUGUCCCCGGACCCUCAGCUGUGGCCGAGGACCUGUGUGUAACUGCUGGUACGCCUGAGUGCUCCGGGCUUUUCUCUGUCCCCGUAGAGCUGGCUCCCUGCCUGAGCUGUCCUUCCCUCUGUACCUCGAUGUGCUGGCUCCCUAUGUGAACCAGGUGAAUCUUAUCCGAGCCGGGGUCCCUAAGAUCAACUUUUCUGGUCCAGAUUACCCCAGUAUCCGACCUCCCAUCCUCCUCCUCAGCGUCCGGAGGUGGCCUGGGGUCAGCGAGCAGCAAGUGUACCGUGAGUUUCAGAAUCUCUGCAAGUUCGAUGUCCGGCGACUGUCGCGGAGCCAGUUCCUGCUCUUGACCAAUAAGUUCAAGGACGCUCGGAGCAUCCUGAGGGAGUACCGGGGCCACCCCACCCUGCAGAUCUCCCUCUAUCGGUACUGGAGACACUCCCCCGACAUCAACUGCUUGUUGCAGGUCUGUGGCGUGGUGGCCACCUGGGCCCUCCUCGCUCUCGUCCUCGGGAGACCUGACCCCUGAGCGUGGCCUGCAGCCUCUGUCCCAUCUCCGUGCCUCUCCGGGACAGCCGUCCGCAUGUCCGCAUGGGGCUCCUGUGGCUUUUGUGUAAAUCGUACCUUUCUCUGCAGACCGAUGUGUGCGGUCCUUAUGAGGAACUUUGUUUCAAAUGUGAAAUUGUGUAACUAUUAUCAACGAUAAAGAAAUCCUUAGAAGUGGAA